rnacentral:rRNA from 1 species
UAGAACGGGCCAACGAGUUACGUUAAGUAGCAAGGUUAAGCACUUAAGGUGCGGAGCCGUAGCGAAAGCGAGUUUUAACUGAGCGUUCAGUUACUUGACGUAGACCCGAAACCGGGCGACCUACCCAGGAGCAGGAUGAAGCGAAAGUAAAAUUUCGUGGAGGUCCGAACCCACGAGCGUUGAAAAGCUCGGGGAUGACUUGUGGGUAGCGGUGAAAUUCCAAUCGAGCCCGGAGAUAGCUGGUUCUCCCCGAAAUAGCUUUAGGGCUAGCCUCAAGGUGAGAGAUACGGA